rnacentral:lncRNA from 1 species
CCUUCUCUAUUUUUACAAACACAUAACUCAUAUCCUACAUUAUGAAAAACAUCAUGAAAUCAAUUUUAUCCAAAAAAAAUGACACAAAGACAAAAAAAAUAGGAAAAGACAUACACAAGGCAACAUGAACAUACAUGUUCCUUAUUAAAAUGUUCGAUUGCCAAUUUAGUACAUCUGGUAAGAAUUUCAUCAUCAAAAUCCGUGAUCGCUGUAAGGCCAAACUCACAGGUGCCUGGAAAUGGAUCAACAUCGAAUCCCUGUAAAAGACAUGUAUUAACAAUUAGUGAAAAAAAAAAGUUGUGAAGCUUUAACUCUCAAAAAGAAGAUAAUAAUUAUUAAACACCUCGCUUUCCUUGAUUUGUUUGUAAUAUCUAGCCCAUUCUUCGUGAGUCCUACUGCGAUUACCAUUCGGCCAAACAUAAACCUCAUCUUCCUCUGAAGUAUGCUCAUAAACCCUUUGAUCCUUCUCGUUCCCUUUCUCUUCCUCUAUUUCACUUUGGAUUUCUUCCUCCUAGCCCUCUUCCCUCAUCUCUUCGCUUUCUUCCUGCAGUUUCAACUUCUCCUGCAUCGACUCUUCAGGUAUCAGUUUCUUAGCAUUUUGCUGUAUCACAAAAUGAAAUACAUCUAUACAUAAAAAAUUUAAACAAAUUUCAAUCAAAACUAACGACAAUUUAAAAAAAAAAAUUUCUUAAAUUGGCUAAAAUAAAAGAAGAAUU